GGUUAAGCGACUAAGCGUACACGGUGGAUGCCCUGGCAGUCAGAGGCGAUGAAGGACGUGCUAAUCUGCGAAAAGCGUCGGUAAGGUGAUAUGAACCGUUACAGCCGGCGAUGUCCGAAUGGGGAAACCCAGUGCAAUUCGUUGCACUAUCGUUAACUGAAUACAUAGGUUAACGAGGCGAACCGGGGGAACUGAAACAUCUAAGUACCCCGAGGAAAAGAAAUCAACCGAGAUUCCCCCAGUAGCGGCGAGCGAACGGGGAGCAGCCCGGAGUCUGAAUCAGCUUGUGUGUUAGUGGAAGCGUCUGGAAAGUCGCAGGGUACAGGGUGAUACUCCCGUACACUAAAACACACAGGCUGUGAACUCGAAGAGUAGGGCGGGACACGUGGUAUCCUGUCUGAAUAUGGGGGGACCAUCCUCCAAGGCUAAAUACUCCUGACUGACCGAUAGUGAACCAGUACCGUGAGGGAAAGGCGAAAAGAACCCCGGCGAGGGGAGUGAAAAAGAACCUGAAACCGUGUACGUACAAGCAGUAGGAGCCC
rnacentral:rRNA from 1 species